rnacentral:rRNA from 1 species
GUGCCAAUACAUGCAAGUUGAGCGCUGAAGGUUGGUACUUGUACCGACUGGAUGAGCAGCGAACGGGUGAGUAACGCGUGGGGAAUCUGCCUUUGAGCGGGGGACAACAUUUGGAAACGAAUGCUAAUACCGCAUAAAAACUUUAAACACAAGUUUUAAGUUUGAAAGAUGCAAUUGCAUCACUCAAAGAUGAUCCCNCG